rnacentral:rRNA from 2 species
UACGUAGGGAGCAAGCGUUGUCCGGAAUUACUGGGCGUAAAGGGUGCGUAGGCGGCUAUGCAAGUCAGAUGUGAAAUCCCCGGGCUUAACUCGGGUGGUGCAUUUGAAACUGCGUGGCUUGAGUGCAGGAGAGGAAAGUGGAAUUCCUAGUGUAGCGGUGGAAUGCGUAGAUAUUAGGAGGAACACCAGUGGCGAAGGCGACUUUCUGGACUGUAACUGACGCUGAGGCACGAAAGCGUGGGGAGCAAACAGG